GGUAGUUUCAACAAAAGUUGUGUUAUAUUUCAGAGAUUUUUAACACAGAAAGUGCACAAAUAACCAACACAACAAUGUGUAGCUGCUUUUGGCCAAUCAAAGCGUUUGCAUGUCAGCGCGAGCGCAUUUUUUAAAAUUCGCCACCAGGAGUCACUCGUCACCCGUCAGCCGUUGCCAGGCUCGUUCCUCUCUGGUAGCUGUUGCAUUCAAGGGACGCCUCGGCUGAGUCACUGAGCUGCUGUACUAAUGGAUCCCCCGAAAUUGUUAGUCACCGUCUUCAUGGACGAGAAGGAAAUAAGCAAAAAAGUUCUUCGGUUGAGAUCACUACAAGAGGUUGUCGAUGCAUGCGCUCCAACCACAGGAACAGACAGCCCAGAUUGCUACAGGGUUAUGAAGUUCGAUACAGACUUCAACGAAUUCAUAGACACAGACUCUACUGACAGUGUUGAAGACAAGGACAAGCUCCAAGUAUUCUUCAGAUCGAGUGGAACCUCAGUAUUGGCUGAACAGCUGAAUACAUCUGGGGCUGCAGCAGAAA